rnacentral:rRNA from 1 species
UACGUAGGGGGCAAGCGUUGUCCGGAAUCAUUGGGCGUAAAGCGCGUGUAGGCGGUUCGGUAAGUCGGCUGUGAAAGUCCAGGGCUCAACCCUGGGAUGCCGGUCGAUACUGCCGGACUAGAGUUCGGAAGAGGCGAGUGGAAUUCCCGGUGUAGCGGUGAAAUGCGCAGAUAUCGGGAGGAACACCAAUGGCGAAGGCAGCUCGCUGGGACGUUACUGACGCUGAGACGCGAAAGCGUGGGGAGCAGACAGG